rnacentral:rRNA from 1 species
GAACGCUGGCGGCGUGCCUAAUACAUGCAAGUAGAACGCUGAAGAGAGGAGCUUGCUCUUCUUGGAUGAGUUGCGAACGGGUGAGUAACGCGUAGGUAACCUGCCUUGUAGCGGGGGAUAACUAUUGGAAACGAUAGCUAAUACCGCAUAACAAUGGAUGACACAUGUCAUUUAUUUGAAAGGGGCAAUUGCUCCACUACAAGAUGGACCUGCGUUGUAUUAGCUAGUAGGUGAGGUAAUGGCUCACCUAGGCGACGAUACAUAGCCGACCUGAGAGGGUGAUCGGCCACACUGGGACUGAGACACGGCCCAGACUCCUACGGGAGGCAGCAGUAGGGAAUCUUCGGCAAUGGGGGCAACCCUGACCGAGCAACGCCGCGUGAGUGAAGAAGGUUUUCGGAUCGUAAAGCUCUGUUGUAAGUCAAGAACGGGUGUGAGAGUGGAAAGUUCACACUGUGACGGUAGCUUACCAGAAAGGGACGGCUAACUACGUGCCAGCAGCCGCGGUAAUACGUAGGUCCCGAGCGUUGUCCGGAUUUAUUGGGCGUAAAGCGAGCGCAGGCGGUUUGAUAAGUCUGAAGUUAAAGGCUGUGGCUCAACCAUAGUUCGCUUUGGAAACUGUCAAACUUGAGUGCAGAAGGGGAGAGUGGAAUUCCAUGUGUAGCGGUGAAAUGCGUAGAUAUAUGGAGGAACACCGGUGGCGAAAGCGGCUCUCUGGUCUGUAACUGACGCUGAGGCUCGAAAGCGUGGGGAGCGAACAGGAUUAGAUACCCUGGUAGUCCACGCCGUAAACGAUGAGUGCUAGGUGUUGGAUCCUUUCCGGGAUUCAGUGCCGCAGCUAACGCAUUAAGCACUCCGCCUGGGGAGUACGACCGCAAGGUUGAAACUCAAAGGAAU